rnacentral:rRNA from 1 species
UGGGGAAUCUUGGACAAUGGGGGCAACCCUGAUCCAGCCAUGCCGCGUGAGUGAUGAAGGCCUUAGGGUCGUAAAGCUCUUUCGCCUGUGAAGAUAAUGACGGUAGCAGGUAAAGAAACCCCGGCUAACUCCGUGCCAGCAGCCGCGGUAAUACGGAGGGGGUUAGCGUUGUUCGGAAUUACUGGGCGUAAAGCGCACGUAGGCGGACCAGAAAGUUGGGGGUGAAAUCCCGGGGGCUCAACCCCGGAACUGCCUCCAAAACUAUUGGUCUAGAGUUCGAGAGAGGUGAGUGGAAUUCCAAGUGUAGAGGUGAAAUUCGUAGAUAUUUGGAGGAACACCAGUGGCGAAGGCGGCUCACUGGCUCGAUACUGACGCUGAGGUGCGAAAGUGUGGGGAGCAAACAGGAUUAGAUACCCUGGUAGUCCACACCGUAAAACGAUGAAUGCCAGUCGUCGGGUAGCAUGCUAUUCGGUGACACACCUAACGGAUUAAGCA